rnacentral:rRNA from 1 species
UACGGAGGAUUCAAGCGUUAUCCGGAUUUAUUGGGUUUAAAGGGUGCGUAGGCGGUUUGAUAAGUUAGAGGUGAAAUACCGGUGCUCAACACCGGAACUGCCUCUAAUACUGUUGAACUAGAGAGUAGUUGCGGUAGGCGGAAUGCGUGGUGUAGCGGUGAAAUGCAUAGAUAUCACGCAGAACCCCGAUUGCGAAGGCAGCAUACCGGCGCCCGACUGACGCUGAGGCACGAAAGUGCGGGUAUCGAACAGG